rnacentral:rRNA from 1 species
CUUAACACAUGCAAGUCGAACGAUGAUGCCCAGCUUGCUGGGUGGAUUAGUGGCGAACGGGUGAGUAACACGUGAGUAACCUGCCCCUGACUCUGGGAUAAGCGUUGGAAACGACGUCUAAUACUGGAUAUGACUGCCGGCCGCAUGGUCUGGUGGUGGAAAGAUUUUUUGGUUGGGGAUGGACUCGCGGCCUAUCAGCUUGUUGGUGAGGUAAUGGCUCACCAAGGCGACGACGGGUAGCCGGCCUGAGAGGGUGACCGGCCACACUGGGACUGAGACACGGCCCAGACUCCUACGGGAGGCAGCAGUGGGGAAUAUUGCACAAUGGGCGAAAGCCUGAUGCAGCAACGCCGCGUGAGGGAUGACGGCCUUCGGGUUGUAAACCUCUUUUAGUAGGGAAGAAGGGAGCUUGCUCUUGACGGUACCUGCAGAAAAAGCACCGGCUAACUACGUGCCAGCAGCCGCGGUAAUACGUAGGGUGCAAGCGUUGUCCGGAAUUAUUGGGCGUAAAGAGCUCGUAGGCGGUUUGUCGCGUCUGCUGUGAAAUCCCGAGGCUCAACCUCGGGCUUGCAGUGGGUACAGGCAGACUAGAGUGCGGUAAGGGAGAUUGGAAUUCCUGGUGUAGCGUUGGAAUGCGCAGAUAUCAGGAGGAACACCGAUGGCGAAGGCAGAUCUCUGGGCCGUAACUGACGCUGAGGAGCGAAAGCAUGGGGAGCGAACAGGAUUAGAUACCCUGGUAGUCCAUGCCGUAAACGUUGGGCGCUAGAUGUAGGGACCUUUCCACGGUUUCUGUGUCAUAGCUAACGCAUUAAGCGCCCCGCCUGGGGAGUACGGCCGCAAGGCUAAAACUCAAAGGAAUUGACGGGGGCCCGCACAAGCGGCGGAGCAUGCGGAUUAAUUCGAUGCAACGCGAAGAACCUUACCAAGGCUUGACAUACACCGGAAACGGCCAGAGAUGGUCGCCCCCUUGUGGUCGGUGUACAGGUGGUGCAUGGUUGUCGUCAGCUCGUGUCGUGAGAUGUUGGGUUAAGUCCCGCAACGAGCGCAACCCUCGUUCUAUGUUGCCAGCGCGUUAUGGCGGGGACUCAUAGGAGACUGCCGGGGUCAACUCGGAGGAAGGUGGGGAUGACGUCAAAUCAUCAUGCCCCUUAUGUCUUGGGCUUCACGCAUGCUACAAUGGCCGGUACAAAGGGCUGCGAUACCGUAAGGUGGAGCGAAUCCCAAAAAGCCGGUCUCAGUUCGGAUUGAGGUCUGCAACUCGACCUCAUGAAGUCGGAGUCGCUAGUAAUCGCAGAUCAGCAACGCUGCGGUGAAUACGUUCCCGGGCCUUGUACACACCGCCCGUCAAGUCAUGAAAGUCGGUAACACCCGAAGCCGGUGGCCUAACCCUUGUGGAAGGAGCCUC